rnacentral:rRNA from 1 species
UCUCUCCCCCAGGUCCCUUCGGGGCGCCCGCCAGCGGCCGCGAGCCGCCCGAACCUCUUAUAAACCGUAACCGAACCGUUUGAGAAACAAACAAAAACAGCCAAAACUUUCAACAACGGAUCUCUUGGCUCUGGCAUCGAUGAAGAACGCAGCGAAAUGCGAUACGUAAUGCGAAUUGCAGAAUUCAGCGAGUCAUCGAAUCUUUGAACGCACAUUGCGCCCGCCAGCAUUCUGGCGGGCAUGCCUGUCCGAGCGUCAUUUCCCCCCUCAACGCGCCCUUCUGGGAGCGCUGGCGUUGGGGCUCCUCCGCCCUCUGUGGCGGCAGGGCCCUCAAAUCCAGUGGCGGGCCCGUCUGGCGGGCUCCGAGCGCAGUACCGAACGCAAGUUCUCCUCUCGCUCCCUAGCCCCGGACGGAGGGCCCACACCAACAACAACAAACAGUCUUGGU